GACUCUGUUAGCACAAGGAUGGUCGAUCCAAAAGCAACUCUUCAACAAACAGCUGAUCCAACUAGUGCAUAUAAGGUGUUCGAUGAAAUGCCACAACCGGUCCGGAAAAAACAUAAUGAUGCUGUUCCACCCAAAGCCCCAUACAACUCAUUAUUUGCGAAGAACAGAGUUCCAAAGAAUGGAUUUCAGUUACCAAAUUUCCCACAAGAAAAGGAAGAGGACGAUAUGAUCUUUCAAACGGCCGAUGAAACUGAAAUUGAAGAUACUUUCGGAAUAUGCCUGCUCGGAUAUUUUGCCGGAAAAUUUCCUGGGAAACAAGCUCUAGCCGCCAUCUGUGAUGCAUGGGAAGUCAAAUACACCUACAAAAGCCACGACAAUGGAUGGCUGAUCUUCACAUUCGACAACGAGGCAGACAAGAACAAAGUACUCGAAGGAGGACCAUACACAAUCUUCGAUAGGCAGCUUCAUAUGAAACCGAUGUCGAGGUACUUUAAUUUUGACCCGAACGAAAUGUGUAUUGUUCCGGUGUGGGUGAAAUUGCAUAACUGGCCCCCAAUCUACUGGAAUGAAGUUGCUCUAGGCAAAUUUGCAAGUAAACUUGGCACUCCGAUCUGCUCCGACGCGUUGACUAAAGAAAAAUUGAAAAUCUCGUAUGCUCGGCUCCUGGUGAAUGUGGAUGCCUCGAAACCUCUCAAAGAAGAGGUGAAAAUCAUCUGUCCAGACGGCACGGCAACAAUGCAGAAAAUCGAGUAUGAAUACAAGCCUAAAUUCUGCUCCCAUUGCAAGACACUUGCCCAUAAUACAGCUAAUUGCCCAAUACUGUACCCCCCAGCAGAGCCUAGAGUAAUUCCGGUCAAGAAAGAUCAGAGACCACCAGAACAAGUCUGGAAACAGAUUAUCAGAGGGAAAGCUACGCCAGUUAACACCCACACAUAUUUUGAGGAGCCGUCCCAAGAUGAUCUACACGCAGAAUCCCUGAUUACUGCUUUUGUCGGGAGCCAUGCAAAAGAUCCUGACCCCCCCUAUUAUGGCAGCAAGCACUCUGAUUCAAGCCCAAAAUCACCUACCGAAGCCACGAAGGAGGGAGAAUUCCUCAACUUAAGUCACUUUCCCAGGUAUGAAGGACCGUGGGCUCCAUUGGCUGAGCACGAAGAAGUACAGCAAUUCGACCCUAGGUUCAAACCUGCAAGGAAGCAGCCAAUACAACAAGAUAGAUCAAACAAGCAACAUCUGGGGCAGAACAGAUGGGGAAACGACAAGGGGCAGGGCAGCAGUGCUAGGAAGGCCUAUGGCCUUUCCUCAGCGCAAUGAUUAUUUCAUCGUGGAAUAUCAGGGGCUUCAACAAGCCCCUGAAGCAGAAUGGGAUCAGGGAUCUCAUUCUUAAGAAUAAUAUCGACAUUUUUGGUAUUUUGGAAACGAAAGUUAAAACGCAAGUGCUGGUCGAUAAAAUUAUGCAGAACAAGUUCAGUGGUAUGUUGGCAGCAAACAAUUUAUGUCAGCAUAGUGGGGGCAGAAUACUCAUCAUUUGGAACCCGUCAAAGGUGCACCUUGAAGUAAGAAGCAUGAACAAUCAAGCUAUUCACUGUUUUGCCACGUGUAAAAUCACCUCUAUGGAAUUCCACAUCUCCUUUGUGUAUGGAUUAUACUCAAAUUCAGAUAGGAAAGCGCUGUGGCAAACUAUUGAUAAAUAUGGGGAGAAUCUUCGAGAACCAUGGCUUAUCCUCGGCGAUUUCAAUUGUGUUCUCAGUCCGGAAGAGAAGAAAGGGGGCAAUGAACCUAUCCCGUAUGCCGUAAGAGACUUCAAUGAUUGCAUGCAAACAAAUGGGAUUUCAGACCUCCCGUUUAACGGCUGCCAUAUGACGUGGUCAAACUCCGGAACAGAUAACAUUAUCUGGAGCAAGCUUGAUAGAGCAAUGGUGAAUCACUGGUGGUUUCAAUCCCCGAAUCAAGCAGACUUUGAGAGCUCGGUCACAUUUCACCCCUCGGGAGCCUUAUCUGAUCAUUCCCCAUGCAUCAUCAACCUAUCAUCAGUGAAAAAGAGACCCAAGAAAGCAUUUAAAUUCUUCAACAUGUGGGUGCAGCAUCCGAAAUU
rnacentral:lncRNA from 1 species